rnacentral:lncRNA from 1 species
UUGACAGUCUAACGCCCACACCAACAGAGAGAUGGAGGGAGUUGCAUUCCUCCGCUGCGGCAUCUCUCAAAUGUUAAUCGAAAUUAAUUGCUACUAAUUGCAGUUCAAAGCUGCACCGAAAAAUAUGUCAUAAAUCUUGGUACGAUCUACAACUCCACGCCAACGGAAACACCUUUAGCAAAUGGCUUAAAAUUACCGAAAAAAUGUCUGCCAAUUGGCCAAUAAAUCGCUGGAUAUGCGGGGCAGAGGCAAGACAAAGAACGAACAAACAACGAACCGGAUCAAAUGGCGCAGAUAACACCACGCCACACUGUCCAACAGGGUCGGGAAUAGAGAAGGACAGGGAAAGGGACUCGGUCGCGUGUCUGAGCAAACUUCUAAUUAAUUUCUCGCCUCAAAUCUAAGCUCAAGUCGGAAAUGAAUUUAAACUUUUAGAGCGGAAGUCAAGAGUUGCAAUUUUUCUGCUGGAAUUGUUGUGCAGCGAAAGGAAAUGCCUUUCCAUUUCCCCUUAACCCCUUUUCACUUACCCUUGCCACU